rnacentral:rRNA from 1 species
GUACGUAGCAAUACGUAUUGUAAAGUGGCGCACGGGUGAGUAACACGUGGGUAAUCUGCCCUUGAGUUUGGGAUAACCCCGCGAAAGCGGGGCUAAUACCGGAUAAGACCACGGAGACCAAAGUCUCUGAGGUAAAAGGUGGCCUCUAUUUAUAAGCUACCACUUGAGGAUGAGCCCGCGGCCCAUUAGCUAGUUGGCAGGGUAAUGGCCUACCAAGGCAAUGAUGGGUAGCUGGUCUGAGAGGACGAUCAGCCACACUGGAACUGAGACACGGUCCAGACUCCUACGGGAGGCAGCAGUGGGGAAUAUUGCGCAAUGGGCGAAAGCCUGACGCAGCAACGCCGCGUGGGGGAUGAAGGUUCUCGGAUUGUAAACCCCUUUCGAUCGGAACGAAUCCCCUCCUGGUAAGUAAUCAGGAGGAUCGACGGUACCGAGAGAAGAAGCCACGGCUAACUCUGUGCCAGCAGCCGCGGUAAGACAGAGGUGGCGAGCGUUGUUCGGAUUUAUUGGGCGUAAAGCGAACGCAGGUGGUUUGGUAAGUCAGGGGUGAAAGACCACAGCUUAACUGUGGCAUUGCCUUUGAUACUGCCUUUCUUGAGU